AGCGAACGCUGGCGGCAUGCUUAACACAUGCAAGUCGCACGAAGGUUUCGGCCUUAGUGGCGGACGGGUGAGUAACGCGUAGGAAUCUAUCCAUGGGUGGGGGAUAACACUGGGAAACUGGUGCUAAUACCGCAUGAUACCUGAGGGUCAAAGGCGCAAGUCGCCUGUGGAGGAGCCUGCGUUCGAUUAGCUAGUUGGUGGUGUAAUGGCCUACCAAGGCGAUGAUCGAUAGCUGGUUUGAGAGGAUGAUCAGCCACACUGGGACUGAGACACAGCCCAGACUCCUACGGGAGGCAGCAGUGGGGAAUAUUGGACAAUGGGGGCAACCCUGAUCCAGCAAUGCCGCGUGUGUGAAGAAGGUCUUCGGAUUGUAAAGCACUUUCGACGGGGACGAUGAUGACGGUACCCGUAGAAGAAGCCCCGGCUAACUUCGUGCCAGCAGCCGCAGUAA
rnacentral:rRNA from 1 species